CUUGCUGUUUAAAUUUUAUGAUAAUUCUGAACUGGAUUAGUGUCCUCAACCAACAGGCUGAGACGAACUCUAAAGAAAAACCAGGUCAUACUGCAUGUUUUUGGUGAGUGCAGGAAUCAACAAAGAAGUGUUAUGUAACGUCUAUUUAUAUCCUCCUUGCUCACUAUCUGCAGGCAGACAAGAGUCGCUGAGCAGGGAUUUAAUGAGCUCUCUGGGUUUGCUCACCUUCCUGAGCUGGUAGGAGCCAGCUUGUUCUCAAAUGCGUCAGUAAGGAAUCUGGCUGUGGGUGGGCGGCCUGGGGUAGGUGGACUGCAUUGUUGCCAUGGUAAUUUUUAAUUCCCCUGCUUCUCAU
rnacentral:sRNA from 1 species